UACGUAGGGACCAAGCGUUGUUCGGAAUUACUGGGCGUAAAGGGUCUGUAGGUAGCUUGCUAAGUCAGACGUGAAAUCCCUCAGCUUAACUGGGGAACUGCGUCUGAGACUGGCGAGCUUGAGUGCAGGAGAGGAACGCGGAAUUCCAGGUGUAGCGGUGAAAUGCGUAGAUAUCUGGAGGAAUACCGGUGGCGAAGGCGGCAUCCUGGACCGGCAUUGACGCUGAGGAGCGAAAGCUAGGGGAGCAAACGGG
rnacentral:rRNA from 1 species